rnacentral:rRNA from 1 species
GACGAACGCUGGCGGCGUGCUUAACACAUGCCAGUCGAACGGAAAGGCCCGGCUUUUGUGGGGUUCUCGAGUGGGGAACGGGUGAGUAACACGUGAGUAUCCUGCCCUUGUCUUUGUGAUAUCUUCAGGAAACUGCGGCUAAUACCGGAUAGGAUCUCCUGCAGCAUGGUGGGGGUUGGAAAGUUUCGGCGGUUGGGGAUGGACUCGCGGCUUAUCAGCUUGUUGGUGGGGUAGUGGCUUACCAAGGCUUUGAAGGGUAGCCGGCCUGAGAGGGUGAACGGCCACCAUGGGACUGCGAUACGGAGCAGUCGGCUACGGGAGGCAGCAGUGGGGAAUAUUGCACAAUGGGCGGGAGCGUGAUACAGCAACGCCGCGUGCGGGAUGACGGCCUUCGGGUUGUAAACCGCUUUCGCCUGAGACGAAGCGGGCGUGACGGUACUGGGUAAAGAAGCACCGGCUAACUACGUG